rnacentral:lncRNA from 1 species
CUUUAACAAAUAGCAGUUAGAUUUUAUUUUUCACUUUCCAUGUGUCAGAAUGACAUGAAACUUUAAAUCUAGCCUCAUAAAAUUAAUUCCGAUAUUCUCUCCAAUUUUCACAAUUUUCUGACACUGAAUUUUUUGCUAAAAUAUCAGCCUCGUUUCUUAUAGAAAAUUUUAAAUCUUCUAUUUCCGUUCCGAUUUUAGCACAAGUUAUUUCCGACUUAUAUUUUACUUCUUUAAGUCCAAUAAAAAUAGUAUCUUACACUAUUUUUAUUUACACUUACCUUUAUAUCAAGAAGUUGGUACAUUACAACCCCAUUCAUUGAGAAGUUGAGGGUCGACCUCAUUUCAUUCCUCGGAGCUUUGGAGGGUUGUGCGUGCACCGCGGUUGAUUCCGGUUGAACCGUUGGAGGUCGAGCUAGCGCGGGGUUGCUUCUAUCGACUUCUAGUCGAUGUUGGACGAGCGUUCGAGGUGGGUUAAUGUUUACCGAAAUCGUCAGAAUUUCUCUUAAGUCGUAGAGUGUCAGCAUGUGUUUUCUUAUGUUG